rnacentral:misc_RNA from 1 species
UCACCGUAUCAAGCUUGGCUUGUUGUUGGGCCUUUUUGUCACUUGGUGACAGGUCCAAAAGACAAUGGCCGGUGUCAUACAGACUCUAUAUGCAACGAGCUGAUCACAGCACGCAUCUGGCAGUCGUGUGGCCUGGCCCGCACCCCUUUCUUUCUCAA